UACGUAGGGGGCAAGCGUUGUCCGGAAUCAUUGGGCGUAAAGAGCGUGUAGGCGGCCAGAAAAGUCCGCUGUGGAAAACUCGAGGCUCAACUUCGAGCUGUCGGUGGAAACUUUCUGGCUAGAGUCCGGAAGAGGAGAAUGGAAUUCCUGGUGUAGCGGUGAAAUGCGCAGAUAUCAGGAAGAACACCCGUGGCGAAGGCGGUUCUCUGGGACGGUACUGACGCUGAGACGCGAAAGCGUGGGGAGCAAACAGG
rnacentral:rRNA from 1 species